UGCUUGUAACUUCCUAUUUGCAGUUCUUUUUAUGAUCUUUUCUCCUCCCUGAACACAUGUACGAAAUGUAGCCAAUUCGCUGCUUGCUGGGCAGUUUACCUCUUACGUUGCAUUAUGGGCCAAAAAUUGGCAGCUGGUUUAAAUUAUAAUAUCUACAUUUGCUGAAAGGAUGCUGUAGCCAUUUUAACUGGCUCUGCGGCUUAUAAAGUUAGUCCAUAAAGUUGCUGAGAAGGUCACUUUCCUCAUGGUCUUCAUGGUCAUGGGAGCUCAUCUCUUUUGUGAGACCUACCAGGAGAGGAGCCAGCAGGACCUACAGUGCAGGUUGGCUACAGUGACUCAUGGGCUGCCUAAACCAUGCUGCCUGCUGAGGUCCAUCAAAAAACAGUCCUACAGCCACGUCCCCUGCAGCAGCCCUGGAAAAAGCCAGAAGAAAUGAGAAAGCAGAGCCUCUGUGCACACCAAGUGCAGCCGGGCCUCCGAGGUGCUUUGUGCAGCGCAGGAGUGGGCUCUUCUCCAGGGAGCCUCAAUCCACGGCGAUAAGGCAGACAAAGUAAGCACGGAGAAAAAUAGGCUCUUGGCGGAGAAGUGACAAGCCGCAUGCAGCGGGACAGAGGAGACACCUACUCCCUGCCCUGUGCGUUGCACGAUGAUGAAUAAUCAACAUCCUCCGUGCAGCGAGACACCUGGACCUGGUGCUGUCCCCCGGGGUGCGGAGCAGAGGGUCACAUCCUGGUGCCCAUCGGCUGCUGGUGGCAGCGCAGAGCCACCCGGUCAUCCCACCCCAACCCAGAUAGUCUGAAGCAUCAGAUGCAUCAGCAUGGUGGAGAUUUCCACCUCAAGUGAAUUAUUAUUAUUAUUUUUUUAAAAUUCAUUCACCAAGUUUUAUAUUUUGGGGGCCUUUAGGAAAAUGAAAUAAAAACCUUCAUCAAAAAUUACGUCCCUUUUCACUGCUGAAAGUAAAUGAAAAUUUCCUGUAUAAAGAUGGAGAAUUUGCAGACCCACUUAGUAAAAUCCAGAAGUUUCACUUCAAUCCUCACUUUUUAUGUUUCCAAAUUUGUUUUUUAAAGAUCUCUGCAUCGGUGUCGAACGAUUUAAAAUUCCUCUGGCAAAGUACAGUUUUAUUGCUCCGAAGCUAGCAUAAAGCUGAAUGGGUGGCUGUAUUUCAAGCAAGGAGCUGUGGGAGAGUGCAGCUUGCAAAUGGCAAUGGAGCCCAGAAAUUGA